rnacentral:rRNA from 1 species
UACGAAGGGGGCUAGCGUUGCUCGGAAUCACUGGGCGUAAAGGGUGCGUAGGCGGGUCUUUAAGUCAGGGGUGAAAUCCUGGAGCUCAACUCCAGAACUGCCUUUGAUACUGAAGAUCUUGAGUUCGGGAGAGGUGAGUGGAACUGCGAGUGUAGAGGUGAAAUUCGUAGAUAUUCGCAAGAACACCAAUGGCGAAGGCAGCUCACUGGGACGGUAUUGACGCUGAGACGCGAAAGCGUGGGGAGCAAACAGG